rnacentral:lncRNA from 15 species
GAGUUUGAUCUGGUUUGUGACAAGAGUGGUUUGACUGAGGCAUCACAAUCCAUCUACAUGACAGGUUUUCUGGUUGGAGCGCUGGUGUUCGGGGCAAUUUCUGACAGGUUUUGGGAGACGCUUAGUCUUACUCUCCCUGUCUCUCCUACUGUUGUUUGAUGUGGGUGCUGCUUUUUCACCAAACAUCUACUGUAUGUUUACAUGGUCUUAAAAUUUUUCUGUGGGAGUUCCGGAGGUGUCAUCAUAAUGAACACAUCUGUGAUGGUUCAGGAUUCUCCCAGAGUCAGCUCACUGGCUCAUGACCCAGGGCAGGAAGGACAAAGGCACAAAAGGAGCUCCAGAGGGCAGCGAGGGUGAAUGGACGGACAGUCCCA